rnacentral:misc_RNA from 1 species
GCCAUCCCACAAUCUAUUGGCUUCUAUAGAUAAAGAGUCAAUAAAAGCAUGCCGGAGAUGACAACUUGAAGAAUCACCAAAACCAUUAGUGCAUAGGAUACUCUAAAAAAUUCUUUUAAUUCCACCAACUCUUCGCCUCCAAAAUCUCAAGGAAGAAGGAAGACAAGGAAAAGAAAGAGACAGAAAUGGCGAACUCACCAGACUCUGGAAGUCACUCGCCAU